rnacentral:rRNA from 1 species
GAAUAGUGCGUUAAAGCUCGUAGAUAUAGGCUUUGCAGGUAAAUCCGCAGAGCUUGUCGAAAGUGAUAGUACCGCGAGUCUUCGGACAAGUGGAUAUGACCCUAAUCAGACUUCCAAGAAAAACCUCUAAACUUAUAAUUAUGGUACCCGUACCGCAAACCGACACAGGUAGUCAAGGAGAGUAUCCUGAGGUGCUUGAGUGAAUCAUGGCUAAGGAACUAGGCAAAUUGGCCCUGUAACUUCGGAAGAAAGGGCGCCACUAGCAAUAGUGGCCGCAGUGAAAAGUCCCAGGCGACUGUUUAUCAAAAACACAUGGCUUUGCAAAAUCGAAAGAUGAAGUAUAAGGCCUGACACCUGCCCGGUGCUGGAAGGUUAAGAGGAGAGGUUAGCAGUAAUGCGAAGCUUUGAAUUGAAGCCCCAGUAAACGGCGGCCGUAACAAUAACGGUCCUAAGGUAGCGAAAUUCCUUGUCGGGUAAGUUCCGACCUGCACGAAUGGUGUAACGAUCUGGGAACUGUCUCAGCCAUGAGCUCAGUGAAAUUGUGGUAUCGGUGAAGACGCCGAUUACCCGCUACGGGACGGAAAGACCCCGUGCACCUUCACUACAACUUAACAUUGACUUUGGAUAAAUGAUGUGUAGGAUAGGUGGGAGAUUGUGAAGCGGCUUCGCUAGGAGUCGUGGAAUCAACCUUGAAAUACCACCCUUUAUUUAUUUGGAGUCUAAUCCGACUAUGUCGGAGACAUUGUUUGGUGGGUAGUUGACUGGGGUGGUCGCCUCCAAAAGAGUAACGGAGGCUUUCAAAGGUACCCUCAGCACGCUUGGUAACCGUGCGUAGAGUGUAAAAGCAUAAGGGUGCUUGACUGUGAGACCUACAAGUCGAGCAGGGUCGAAAGACGGAUUUAGUGAUCCGGUGGUUCCGCAUGGAAGGGCCAUCGCUCAAAGGAUAAAAGGUACGCCGGAUAACAGGCUGAUCUCCCCCAAGAGCUCACAUCGACGGGGAGGUUUGGCACCUCGAUGUCGGCUCGUCACAUCCUGGGGCUGGAGAAGGUCCCAAGGGUUCGGCUGUUCGCCGAUUAAAGUGGCACGCGAGCUGGGUUCAGAACGUCGUGAGACAGUUCGGUCCCUAUCUGUAGUGGGCGCUAGAAAUUUGAGAGGGCCUGACUCUAGUACGAGAGGACCGAGUCGGACGAACCUCUAGUGUACCUGUUGUGGCGCCAGCUGCAUCGCAGGGUAGCUACGUUCGGUUAAGAUAAGCGCUGAAAGCAUCUAAGCGCGAAACUUGCCUCAAGAUUAGAUUUCUUUAUAAGGGUCGUUAUAGACUAUGACGUUGAUAGGUUACAGGUGUAAAGGCAGUAAUGUCAAAGCCGAGUAAUACUAAUUACGCAA